UACGUAGGGUGCAAGCGUUAAUCGGAAUUACUGGGCGUAAAGCGUGCGCAGGCGGUUAUGUAAGACAGAUGUGAAAUCCCCGGGCUCAACCUGGGAACUGCAUCUGUGACUGCAUGGCUAGAGUACGGUAGAGGGGGAUGGAAUUCCGCGUGUAGCAGUGAAAUGCGUAGAUAUGCGGAGGAACACCGAUGGCGAAGGCAAUCCCCUGGACCUGUACUGACGCUCAUGCACGAAAGCGUGGGGAGCAAACAGG
rnacentral:rRNA from 1 species